rnacentral:rRNA from 1 species
GCAGUCGAGCGGUAGCACAGAGAGCUUGCUCUCGGGUGACGAGCGGCGGACGGGUGAGUAAUGUCUGGGAAACUGCCUGAUGGAGGGGGAUAACUACUGGAAACGGUAGCUAAUACCGCAUAACGUCGCAAGACCAAAGUGGGGGACCUUCGGGCCUCAUGCCAUCAGAUGUGCCCAGAUGGGAUUAGCUAGUAGGUGGGGUAACGGCUCACCUAGGCGACGAUCCCUAGCUGGUCUGAGAGGAUGACCAGCCACACUGGAACUGAGACACGGUCCAGACUCCUACGGGAGGCAGCAGUGGGGAAUAUUGCACAAUGGGCGCAAGCCUGAUGCAGCCAUGCCGCGUGUGUGAAGAAGGCCUUCGGGUUGUAAAGCACUUUCAGCGGGGAGGAAGGCGGUGAGGUUAAUAACCUUGUCGAUUGACGUUACCCGCAGAAGAAGCACCGGCUAACUCCGUGCCAGCAGCCGCGGUAAUACGGAGGGUGCAAGCGUUAAUCGGAAUUACUGGGCGUAAAGCGCACGCAGGCGGUCUGUCAAGUCGGAUGUGAAAUCCCCGGGCUCAACCUGGGAACUGCAUUCGAAACUGGCAGGCUAGAGUCUUGUAGAGGGGGGUAGAAUUCCAGGUGUAGCGGUGAAAUGCGUAGAGAUCUGGAGGAAUACCGGUGGCGAAGGCGGCCCCCUGGACAAAGACUGACGCUCAGGUGCGAAAGCGUGGGGAGCAAACAGGAUUAGAUACCCUGGUAGUCCACGCCGUAAACGAUGUCGAUUUGGAGGUUGUGCCCUUGAGGCGUGGCUUCCGGAGCUAACGCGUUAAAUCGACCGCCUGGGGAGUACGGCCGCAAGGUUAAAACUCAAAUGAAUUGACGGGGGCCCGCACAAGCGGUGGAGCAUGUGGUUUAAUUCGAUGCAACGCGAAGAACCUUACCUGGUCUUGACAUCCACAGAACUUUCCAGAGAUGGAUUGGUGCCUUCGGGAACUGUGAGACAGGUGCUGCAUGGCUGUCGUCAGCUCGUGUUGUGAAAUGUUGGGUUAAGUCCCGCAACGAGCGCAACCCUUAUCCUUUGUUGCCAGCGGUUCGGCCGGGAACUCAAAGGAGACUGCCAGUGAUAAACUGGAGGAAGGUGGGGAUGACGUCAAGUCAUCAUGGCCCUUACGACCAGGGCUACACACGUGCUACAAUGGCAUAUACAAAGAGAAGCGACCUCGCGAGAGCAAGCGGACCUCAUAAAGUAUGUCGUAGUCCGGAUUGGAGUCUGCAACUCGACUCCAUGAAGUCGGAAUCGCUAGUAAUCGUAGAUCAGAAUGCUACGGUGAAUACGUUCCCGGGCCUUGUACACACCGCCCGUCACACCAUGGGAGUGGGUUGCAAAAGAAGUAGGUAGCUUAACCUUCGGGAGGGCGCU